UCUGUCUCCCUCCUCUCUUCAUUGCUUGGAAAAGAAACAAUGACACAUUUUGCCUGGUGUUCAGUGCAGGUGUUCCUUUACCCCUGGAGUAACAUUUCUCUUCCCAUGGUCCUCCCCUCGCCCCUAGGAAAAGAGGGCAGGCCUGAAAUGGGGGCAGGAGAGACAAGCCUCUCCUCUUUCCCUCGUUAGAAUUGCCUGGUCAGCAGCCUUAACCUUGACCUGAGCUCAGCCCUACCCCUGGGGGAGGAUUUCACCUAAGAGCAGUGCCCAAGUCAGUCUACCCAGUUGCAGCAGCAAGAAACAAACCUUCGGGGUCGUUGCAUCCCACACCAGACGUCCUGUGCAAAUCUGGAUGCAGUCUCUACCUCACAUCCUGUGGACCCCUCAGAGCCUAUUCUCUUCCGGCUCCCUCAUCACCAUCACCUCUAUUGCAACCUGCUCCGUGGGAUUCACUGACCUCGUGACAAUUGUUUACAUGAAAGAAAAAAACACAAGUUGAUCAUCAAUCAUUCUUACUUUCUUACUUGAGAAUUCCGUUUAAGAACAAGAAGAGUCUUCUUUAUUUUAGAGGCCUGUUUUGCUGACCAAGUGUACCUUGGAGGUCAGCGCAGGAGACCUGCUGCUGUCUGAACCAUAAAGUGGGAUUUGAGAGGGCACUACAUUGGUUUGUAGAAUUCAGGGACCAGCCAAACACCUGCACCCUGGCCACAGAGCAGCUCAGGGUGCCUCUGCAUACUUGCUCGUGAACAUCCCAUAGGACACAUCAGCAAAGUGAUGCUGCUCCACUGCGACUCUGGCCAAGUGUCACACUCCUAGGAGAAAGAGUCCUGUUGACCAAUCCACCUUUGGAUAAUGACCACAGCAGAAGGGCACAAGCAAAGGACAGACAAGGGCGCUGGGGGAAUCCCUGUCAGCUGAGCAGGCCCCCA
rnacentral:lncRNA from 1 species